rnacentral:rRNA from 1 species
GAUGAACGCUGGCGGCGUGCUUAACACAUGCAAGUCGAACGGAAAGGCCAGUGCUUGCACUGGUACUCGAGUGGCGAACGGGUGAGUAACACGUGGGUGAUCUGCCCUGCACUUCGGGAUAAGCCUGGGAAACUGGGUCUAAUACCGGAUAGGACAAUGGUUUGGAUGCCGUUGUGGAAAGUUUUUUCGGUGUGGGAUGAGCUCGCGGCCUAUCGGCUUGUUGGUGGGGUAAUGGCCUACCAAGGCGUCGACGGGUAGCCGGCCUGAGAGGGUGUACGGCCACAUUGGGACUGAGAUACGGCCCAGACUCCUACGGGAGGCAGCAGUGGGGAAUAUUGCACAAUGGGCGCAAGCCUGAUGCAGCGACGCCGCGUGGGGGAUGACGGCCUUCGGGUUGUAAACUCCUUUCGCUAGGGACGAAGCGUAUUUGUGACGGUACCUGGAGAAGAAGCACCGGCUAACUACGUG